ensembl:snoRNA
GAUCAUAUCCGUAGAACUUGUCUGACUACUCAGGGCCAGGUAGGUGGGACAGUGUAUGAAAGAUUAAUUGGUUUUCAUGUGAGCUCUAACCUGUGUAGUCAGUAACUGGGUAAAUUGCAAAACACCAGCAUUC